rnacentral:rRNA from 1 species
UACAGAGGUCCCAAGCGUUGUUCGGAUUCAUUGGGCGUAAAGGGUGCGUAGGCGGCGCGGUAAGUCGGGUGUGAAAUCUCGGAGCUUAACUCCGAAACUGCAUUCGAUACUGCCGUGCUUGAGGACUGGAGAGGAGACUGGAAUUUACGGUGUAGCGGUGAAAUGCGUAGAUAUCGUAAGGAAGACCAGUGGCGAAGGCGGGUCUCUGGACAGUUCCUGACGCUGAGGCACGAAGGCCAGGGGAGCAAACGGA